GCUUUUGCUUUGUUUAGAGCAUCCUUCCCCAAGAUGAAACCCUUCGCAAGCAUUGUACUUACGACGUCUUCAGCCUGAUUCGGAGCAAUCCCAGUAACCGUUUGCCUUUUAUCCUUCAAAAGAUCAGAACAAUUUUAAGACAGGAAACAACAACGAGGAGACGUUUUAUGCUCAUCAUAUAAAGGGGAGAAAUUACCAGGAUUGACGACAUUGCUUCAGGUGGAAGAUGGUAAUUCUCAACCAAAGUAAUUGUUACAGAUAGAUCACCAAUUUUAGCUCCCUAAAAGAUAAAAAAAGAGAGAAUGAAAACAAAAACUAACAUAACUAUUAACUAUAAAAAUAAAUAAUUAAAGAGAGCAAUGUUGGGUACGUAAUUAAAGAAACAUACUGUCAAAAGUAUUGCAGUAUCAGCUCCUUGAGAAUCCUUAUAUGUAACAUAAGCAACCUGAGUGUUCUCACUUUCUCUACACCAAUAAAUAAUAACAAUCAAAUAAAACCAACAGUUGCAAUUAUAGCAAUCACCUCCAAAAUCCUUCUACAAACACAAUAUAAAAAGAUUUACAAAUAUACUAAAAUUUAAACUCAACCAUAUUCCCAAUAGGAGCUUGUCAGCAUUACAUUUUGUAAUGUUUGUAAUCCUCUAAAAAUGCUUAAUCAGUACCACUUACUCAUCACAACUAUCCUAAAAAAGUAUUGUGACCAAAACAGUAUUUUAUAAUAAGAAAUAAUCAAAUUCUCCGGCAUGAGUUUGCCAAAUAAAUAAAAAAGAUAGAAUAUUAUCACUAACCUUUGCAUUUCAACGUAAAGGAUUUCCCCAGAGAAUGAAAAGAAUUCUUUGAUAUCUCUCUCAGAAGUAAGUUUUGAGAUAUUGCUGACUUUGACAGUUCUCAUCUAAAAACAAAAACAAAAACAAAAAAUUGUAUAAAGAAAUGCAAAAGUGUUUAUCUUCUUAUGAAUUAAGAAAAUGUUCAAAUGUUUUUUUCAAUUCAGUGGUUUCACAUAAUAGCAAAAGUCUAAGGUUAUGAAUUCUAACUUCCACACAAUAUUAUUUCAUUCUUCAAAUUAAACCCUAAAGAAUAAAUAUAAAAAAGAGAAAGUAUGCAAUGUCAUAUAUCCAAUCAGCAGAAAACUGAGGAAAAUGUCAUAUCUACGAACUCAAUUUUGAGUCACUCCGAAGAUAUAUCUUAAUGAAUAAGAAACCAGAAAUAGGGAAUUAACAUUGAAAAAUUCGAUGGUUGGAUCGUCGACAAGGUAAUAGUUGAAAUGAACACAUGUGUUUUGAGUUUAGUAGUAGUGAUUUAACAGUUAAUAAUUUAAAAUUCAUUGAGUUUUCAUCAUCAAAGUGAAAAGAAAGUAAGCUGAGAUUGAGGCAACUAAAUUCAUAAACAGAAGGAAAGAAGGAAGAGAGUGUUUUGUUGAUGAUAAAUUGGAAUUGAAAAAGAAAAUGUAAGUGAAAUUUGUGUGGGCAAAAGAAUGAGAAAGAGAAAAGUACUGUAGAAACAGAGAUGUUGAAAAUGAAAAACCCUAAUAAGAACAUUAAAAUUGGAAUUCCAGAAAUGGGGAUUGAGUAUUAAGAGAAGAAGAAAAAGAAGAGUAAUAGUAAAACAUAAAUGCGGCAGGCAGAUCUGCAUCAAAGAUUCACACAUGAAGAAGAAGAAGAACUCACCGACAUUUCUGAAAAUGAAAAGAAAGAAUACAAAGAUGAAGAAAUGGUUUGGAUGAGAUGGAGCGGCGGAGAGAAGAGAAGAAAAGGGAAUGGUUGAAGAAGAUGAAAUGAAGAAAGUGUUUGUUGUCUCUUAACCUUCGGAUUUCUGGAAACGGAUACGGUUUUUUGUUUUUCAUUUUAGAUUUAGAAGAAGAAGAUACCCAAACAAAAAAACAAAAUAAAAACAAAAAACAAAUGGAUUUUAAACUGUUGACUUUAUUAUUAUGAUUAAACACAAGUGGAGCCAACUGGAUUAUAUUUCAUUUUAUCCAAUUUUUCUUUUCUUUUCUUUUCUUUUCUUUUUGUUAAAGAGUACAAUAGAGAGAAAGACUAGAGGUGUGUUCAAGAAAAUGGAAUAUAUGGACCCAAUUGAAGUUA